rnacentral:rRNA from 1 species
UACGUAGGGUGCAAGCGUUAAUCGGAAUUACUGGGCGUAAAGCGUGCGCAGGCGGUUAUGUAAGACAGAUGUGAAAUGCCCGGGCUUAACCUGGGAACUGCGUCGGAUACUGGUUGGCUUGAAUCCGGGAGAGGGAUGCGGAAUUCCAGGUGUAGCGGUGAAAUGCGUAGAUAUCUGGAGGAACACCGGUGGCGAAGGCGGCGAUCCU